rnacentral:rRNA from 1 species
GACGAACGCUGGCUGCUCGCCUAACACAUGCAAGUCGAACGAUCUAGGUCGAUCUUGCUUUCUUGAGCGAGUGGCGGACGUGUGAGUAACACUUGAGGAACCUUCCUCAAAGGGGGGUACAACAGUUGGAAACGACUGCUAAUACCGCAUGAGCCCACGGUGCCGCGUGGCACCGAGGGAAAAUGAGCAAUCCGCUUUGAGAUGGCCUCGCGUCCGAUUAGCUAGUUGGUGAGGUAACGGCCCACCAAGGCGACGAUCGGUAGCCGGACUGAGAGGUUGAAAGGCCACAUUGGGAAUGAGACACGGCCCAGACUCCUACGGGAGGCAGCAGUGGGGAAUAUUGCACAAUGGGGGAAAUCCUGAUGCCGCGACGCCGCGUGGAGGAAGAAGGUCUUCGGAUUGUAAACUCCUGUUGUUGGGGAAGAUAAUGACGGUACCCAAAAAGGAAGUGACGGCUAACUACGUG